rnacentral:rRNA from 1 species
GGGGAAUAUUGCACAAUGGGCGAAAGCCUGAUGCAGCGACGCCGCGUGGAGGAUGAAGGCCUUCGGGUCGUAAACUCCUGUCUGGGGGGAUGAACACUGACAGUACCCCCGGAGGAAGCCCCGGCUAACUACGUGCCAGCAGCCGCGGUAAUACGUAGGGGGCGAGCGUUGUCCGGAAUUACUGGGCGUAAAGCGCGCGCAGGCGGCUUGUUAAGUCAGGUGUCAAAAUGCGGGGCUCAACCCCGUAUCGCACUUGAAACUGGCAGGCUUGAGUGCAGGAGAGGGAAGUGGAAUUCCUAGUGUAGCGGUGAAAUGCGUAGAUAUUAGGAGGAACACCAGUGGCGAAGGCGACUUCCUGGACUGUAACUGACGCUGAGGCGCGAAAGCGUGGGGAGCGAAC